rnacentral:sRNA from 1 species
UAGAGUCGCCAAAAACGCAUCAGUAGA